UACGAAGGGGGCUAGCGUUGCUCGGAAUUACUGGGCGUAAAGGGCGCGUAGGCGGCCAGUUAAGUUGGGGGUGAAAGCCCGGGGCUCAACCUCGGAAUUGCCUUCAAAACUGGCUGUCUUGAGUACGGGAGAGGUGUGUGGAACUCCGAGUGUAGAGGUGAAAUUCGUAGAUAUUCGGAAGAACACCAGUGGCGAAGGCGACACACUGGCCCGUUACUGACGCUGAGGCGCGAAAGCGUGGGGAGCAAACAGG
rnacentral:rRNA from 1 species